UCAUAAACAGACAUAAAAUGAUUGCUGAACUGAACUGAGAGAGUGAAGAAUGUGAUAUUGUUUUCUGCAGGCUAAUUGAUUGCGGUGUCACAGAUGAAGGUUGUGCUGCUCUGGCUUCGGUUCUGAGAUUAAACCCCUCACACCUGAAAGAACUGUAUCUGUCUUUGAAUAAACUAGGAGAUUUAGGAGUGAAGAAGCUCUGUGCCGGACUGGAGAAUGCUCACUGUAAACUGGAGAUAUUGUGGUUUAGGUAUUGUGGUGUCUCAGAUGAAGGUUGUUCUGCUUUGGCUUCAGCUCUGAGAUCAAACCCUUCACACCUGAGAGAACUGAAUCUGUCUGAAAAUCUAGCAGACUCAGGAGUGAAGAAGCUCUGUGCUCUCAAAAAUGAUCCAUGUUAUAAGCUGGAGACAGUUCUGUGAGUGGUAUGCCUGAUACAUUUUUAGAUUUUGUCUGAUAUCAGAAAAUGUGCCUGUACUUUAAAUUGUUUAUGAGUGAAUAACUAUUUGUCUGCUCAUACCGUUGGGACUGAUCUGUGGUAUGAAAUACAAAGUUUACUUCUUAAGAUGUCUAUGUGGCGGUAUGGGUGAAUUUGCAAUUUAGUAGAAUAUUCAUGUGCACAUGAAGGAACUUCACACUGGAGACAGCAGGACAGCUUCAAACCACCUCUAUUUAUUGAUCCUGGAACGCAUGGGAUGCUUGAUCAGUAAUAUUCACCACGCUAUCCUCUUUCCAUGUUACACACAAUAUUAACUGGGAGAUUAGGAGAGAAACUUUUGUGUCUUUGCCUCACCAGCGUCCCAAUCGCUGUCUAAGCUGAUGUAUUUCAACAAUUUGAUGUUUACAUUGUGUAAUACAUUAAAACACAUAAGAAAUAAAGAAGUUGAAAUAAAA